AAGGUUUUAAGUUAUUUUAAAACUAUUAUCCUUCAAAGUUAAAAAUAUAAAUAUAUUUAUAAGCCUUA
rnacentral:tRNA from 1 species